rnacentral:tRNA from 1 species
GGCCCAUUAGCUCAGUUGGUUAGAGCGUCGUGCUAUUAACGCGAAGGUCGCGGGUUCGAUCCUCUCAUGGGCCA